CAGCAAUUUGUCGGAAAAUUCGAAAUUCUAACGAUUCAGUAACCAGUUGCCAUGGCUUAAUGCUCAUCUUACAAAGAUCUGGCCUUUUGUUAACGAGAUCGAACAUGUUAUAGGUGU